rnacentral:tRNA from 1 species
GUGGGUGUAGCUCAGUGGAUAGAGCGCCAGACUGUGGCUCUGGACGCCGGGGGUUCAAAUCCCCUCACCCACCC